GCUGGGUUGGUCUAGUGGUAUGAUAUCUGUUUGUGAAGUCGCAAUUGCGGGCAACAUUGCACAGAAGAUCGUCAGUUCGAUUCUGGCACCUAGCA